GACGAACGCUGGCGGCGUGCUUAACACAUGCAAGUCGAACGGUAAGGCCCUUCGGGGUACACGAGUGGCGAACGGGUGAGUAACACGUGGGUGAUCUGCCCUGCACUUCGGGAUAAGCCUGGGAAACUGGGUCUAAUACCGGAUAGGACCACUGCCUGCAUGGGGGGUGGUGGAAAGCUUUUGCGGGGUGGGAUGGGCCCGCGGCCUAUCAGCUUGUUGGUGGGGUGAUGGCCUACCAAGGCGACGACGGGUAGCCGGCCUGAGAGGGUGACCGGCCACACUGGGACUGAGAUACGGCCCAGACUCCUACGGGAGGCAGCAGUGGGGAAUAUUGCACAAUGGGCGCAAGCCUGAUGCAGCGACGCCGCGUGAGGGAUGACGGCCUUCGGGUUGUAAACCUCUUUCAGCACCGACGAAGCGCAAGUGACGGUAGGUGCAGAAGAAGGACCGGCCAACUACGUGCCAGCAGCCGCCGUAA
rnacentral:rRNA from 1 species